rnacentral:misc_RNA from 1 species
UCCUUCUUAUCGAAGGCAGUUUCCUAAGAGUGCAUCCCUUGCGGGAUUGGCAACAUAGGAUGGGGGUUGCGCUCGUUGCGGGACUUAACCCAACAUCUCACGACACGAGCUGACGACAACCAUGCAGCACCUCUGCCGGCUCCCUUGCGGGUCAGCCAAUGUUUCCAUCGGCUUACCACCGGUAGUUCAAGCCCAGGUAAGGUUCUUCGCGUUGCGUCGAAUUAAACCACAUGCUCCGCUGCUUGUGCGGGCCCCCGUCAAUUCCUUUGAGUUUCAGCCUUGCGGCCGUACUCCCCAGGCGGGGCACUUAAUGCGUUAGCGACGACACUCAGGGGGUCGCUCCCCCAAGCAUCUAGUGCCCAUCGUUUACGGCGUGGACUAC